rnacentral:lncRNA from 1 species
UGAUCUCUUAUGACCGUUGGAGACUUAAGGAGAGGAAAGGGAAUAUUCCUUAUGAGCUGGGUGGUCCAAAGAGAAAGGCUGGAAAGUAAAAGUGGCUUUACCUUUACAGCCUUAUCUCCACACUGUCUCAUCUUGGCCAUUGAUUCAAAAUGAGCCAAUCUCUCCCCUCCAUUCAAAUCAGGCGUGCCUCCCUUGCCAGCUUGCACCAGAACAUCCAAGACCAGCCUUCUCUCAUCCUAGCCAUCCAUUCUAUACUUUAAUUACAGCCUUAGGAUAUAGGUUUAUGAUCUGAGUGAUGUAAAGGCAUAUAUAAGCCAUUUGUAUGCAUUUUGUAAACCCUAAGUGAGUAAGGGGGUUUCCCUUCUCCUUCUCUAAUCUGAAACACUUUCUUAGUCUCUCUAGUCUCUCAUCCUGAAUCUCUAUACACGUUCUCAGUCUUGUUACUAAUCUCUUAAACACUUAGACACACAAACACUCAUCAAACUUCUUU